rnacentral:misc_RNA from 1 species
AGGAAAAUUCAAUUCCAAGGGAGAGGAAGAGGAGUUGGGGCUGUGCCCAAGGGUAGAGGAUCUACAACACCGGGCUGGACUGGGGCUGGGUUUUGAUGUGGAUGGUAGAAGUUAGAACCACCAUUACAGAUUCUUUUCCUAUGAUGAAUCAAUGAGACUAGUAGUUUUGCUUUUGCUCCAGUUGGUAUAUUCUUUGCUGUGUCUUUCG